rnacentral:rRNA from 1 species
CGGGUGAGUAACGCGUGGAUAACCUGCCUCACACAGGGGGAUAACAGUUAGAAAUGACUGCUAAUACCGCAUAAGCGCACAGUACCGCAUGGUACAGUGUGAAAAACUCCGGUGGUGUGAGAUGGAUCCGCGUCUGAUUAGGUAGUUGGUGGGGUAACGGCCCACCAAGCCGACGAUCAGUAGCCGACCUGAGAGGGUGACCGGCCACAUUGGGACUGAGACACGGCCCAA